rnacentral:rRNA from 1 species
CCCCUAGAUGUUCUGGGCCGCACGCGCGCUACACUGAACAGUUCAACAAGUCUUAACCUUGGCCGAUAGGUCUGGGUAAUCUUUGAACGCUGUUCGUGAUUGGGAUAGACCUUUGCAAUUAUGGGUCUUCAACGAGGAAUUCCUAGUAAACGCAAGUCAUCAGCUUGCAUUGAUUACGUCCCUGCCCUUUGUACACACCGCCCGUCGCACCUACCGAUUGGAUGGUCCGGUGAAAUCUCGGGACGGCGGCUCGGUCGCUUGCGUCCGACUGCUGAAACUUGAUUAAACCAUAUCAUUUAGAGGAAGGUGAAGUCGUAACA